rnacentral:rRNA from 1 species
GACGAACGCUGGCGGCGUGCUUAACACAUGCAAGUCGAACGGAAAGGCCCUGCUUUUGUGGGGUGCUCGAGUGGCGAACGGGUGAGUAACACGUGAGUAACCUGCCCUUGACUUUGGGAUAACUUCAGGAAACUGGGGCUAAUACCGGAUAGGAGCUCCUGCUGCAUGGUGGGGGUUGGAAAGUUUCGGCGGUUGGGGAUGGACUCGCGGCUUAUCAGCUUGUUGGUGGGGUAGUGGCUUACCAAGGCUUUGACGGGUAGCCGGCCUGAGAGGGUGACCGGCCACAUUGGGACUGAGAUACGGCCCAGACUCCUACGGGAGGCAGCAGUGGGGAAUAUUGCACAAUGGGCGGACGCCUGAUGCAGCAACGCCGCGUGCGGGAUGACGGCCUUCGGGUUGUAAACCGCUUUCGCCUGUGACGAAGCGUGAGUGACGGUAAUGGGUAAAGAAGCACCGGCUAACUACGUG